AGACAGAUUCCCAGGAGGAGUGUAACACCUGCUGAUUUGACGCUUUUCCGUCUAGCCAUUCCAUGGCAUGGAACAAAAAUGACAAAUAUGGCAGAGGGACUCUUGUGGACUUGAAGAGGUUGAAGAGACCUGCAGGGCAUCCAGGGCCACAUCUGGGGCACAUAGAAUUUCCCAAGGGCCAUACCUGUGGCGUAUAGAAGUUCCCAGCCUAAGGGUUGAAUUGGAGCUCAGCUGCUGGAAUAUGCCACAGCCACAGCCACACAGCAUUUGAGCCAUGUCUGUGACCUACACCACAGCUCAUGACAACGCUGGAUACUUAAUCCACUGAGUGAGGCCAGGGACCAAACCCAUGGUUACUAGUCAGGUUUGUUACUGCUGAGCCACAGCACAAACUCCUAGAAGAGGUAAUUUCUUAAAACUUGAUCUUUUUCUUAUUUCUCUGGGUUUGGAAGCCCUGGAAAUAAGCAUCUGAGCUGAAAGCACUGACUAGAGGGAAGGUCAGAGCAAAUUCUGAAAGAGCUUCUACAACAAGCUCAAGUGUCUGUAAGAUGCCUUGUCUACCCCUCACUCAGCUCCCCUCUCCAGCUACGUUCAGCCCACCUUCUGCAACGUCAUACUCACUGUCUCACUGUCCUUUAAAUAGUUGAGUUCCCUGUCUUCAGGAUUGUUUUAAUUUACUUUUUGAUCUGAAACAAGGAAUAAAUUUACCUCUGAGCUCUCACAAUCAGAAACAAACAUCAAGAAG
ensembl:lncRNA